UUUCCAUUUACAUGUUUAGAUAAUAGAGAAAGAUUCCAGUGAUCAUUCUGUGUAUGUUUUUUUCACUUCCAUCCCCUCAUUGCUACACAGCCAAUUGCUGUUGGGUAUCAGGGUCACAUGUGCAACAGCCUAUCAGUUAGGUAUAUUAGUCGGAGUGGGGAAGUUUGAAAGACUAUGGCAUGUUGGGAGAAGCAGAGCUGCAGGAGCUAACUACUAAGCCGAGAUGACAUGGGAAAAAAAACUGUUUGUGUUACAUACAAACUAUGGAAUCGGCCAGGUGUUGAUGGCGAGCUGAAGGUCCAGGCCUAGAGCCCAAGAAAGAUUGCACUUUGGGUGCACAAAGACUUUAGAUCUCCUGCCAAGCUGAUUGGAGCAGAGCUCCAGCCUCCAGUAUCCUGGACUCUUGUCCAUCAGUGAGAGGAGACUUGAUGGACACUCCUCGAUGCUUCCUUCUGAGGGGUUCCAAGGAUGUCCCACCGGGAGGUGGACUAAGAAGAGGACCAGGACACCAUGGAGGGACUAUGUAUGGCAACAUACUCCCAUUGAAUGAGGAAUGAACCAAAGCCCCACCACCUCACCGCUGCAUCAGUCUCUGCAGAGAAAAGGUUGAUGUUGCAUAGAAUGGAAAUAUUGUUGCUCUACUUGAAG